UCAAGGACCCAAGUCUCAAGAGUUCUUGGCUCUUGUCUUCCGCCCAAAAUAAAGGUCUACGAGAAAACAGUCUCGGAGCUAAAAAUGGAAUGGGAAUAAUCCACAUGAGAGUUGCUCCUUCUGCCUGGGCCUGGGAAUGAGAAGACCUGUGGAGCUGAGCUACUGCUUACCCACAACCUGCAUAUACAUAAAUCAGAAGCCAGCACUGGUUGUUGUGAGUCGCUUAGAUUUUGGGGCUUGAUGAAGAUGACCUUAGGCACAGUGACCCUGAAGGCCACAUGUUAAAGACAGUGGAGCCACAGGAUGGAAGGAAGCUGGUUCCCUGAAUCAUCACGUGGCAGAGAGCGGACCACUAAUCAGGAUCAUGUGUUUCAGAUUUCACUUGACCAAUAAAUCAAUUUCAAUUUUGUUACACUGCUA
rnacentral:lncRNA from 10 species